rnacentral:rRNA from 1 species
UACGGAGGGGGCUAGCGUUGUUCGGAAUUACUGGGCGUAAAGCGCACGUAGGCGGCUUUGUAAGUUAGAGGUGAAAGCCCGGAGCUCAACUCCGGAACUGCCUUUAAGACUGCAUCGCUAGAACGAUGGAGAGGUAAGUGGAAUUCCGAGUGUAGAGGUGAAAUUCGUAGAUAUUCGGAAGAACACCAGUGGCGAAGGCGACUUACUGGACAUCUGUUGACGCUGAGGUGCGAAAGCGUGGGGAGCAAACAGG